GACGGAAGGUGCAAGCGUUGCUCGGAAUCACUGGGCGUAAAGGGUGCGUAGGCGGCUUGGUGGGUCUGGUGUGAAAGCCCCGGGCUCAGCCCGGGAAGGGCACUAGAAACUGCCGAGCUGGAGUGCCGGAGGGGAGAGUGGAAUUCCUGGUGUAGCGGUGAAAUGCGUAGAUAUCAGGAGGAAUACCGGUGGCGAAGGCGGCAUCCUGGACCAACACUGACACUGAUGAGCGAAAGCCAGGGGAGCAAACGGG
rnacentral:rRNA from 1 species